GUGUUUCCGGUCUCUCGUUGCAGCCGUGCUACCAGAAGGCCCGGCAGUGGCUGCUGGAUAACAUUCCCUCCGUCCUGGUGUUUGGAGUAUGUAUCGGUGUUGUGCAGAUCCUGGCCCUGGUUUUCUCCAUGCUGAUGUACUGUCAGAUCCUGUGCGCUGAGAAACAUUUGGACUGAGAGCAGACGGGAAGACUGAUCACAAACACCGCCAGCCUGAUUCGAGGUGUCCACCCCCGCCUCAGGACUGUGUGUGUCACAGCAGACAUGGCUGCAUCUCAAACGCCCCAGAGCAUCGGCUUGAACAUUCCCAUUUCAACAAAAAACGACUGAACGACGGCAGUAACAGACUGAAGAGUUGUUGUUGUACCAGCUUUAUAAAUAUGGUUUCAUUUUAGCUCCAUCAGCCUUCAGACAAAAUCUGCAAUAACCAUAAUGCAUUUCAACUGCAGAGGAACCGGAGGGAAACACUGGCUCUAAGAUCCUCUUCAAAUUCAAGAAAAUAAUCUGUGUCUGUAUUUUACAAUAUUUGGUUUCCAGAGUUGCUUCUCUUAGAUUGUUGUCAUCAACAGGAAAUAAUAGUGUGACACUUAAAAGGUCAUAAAACAGCAAAUAGGCAUUGUGUUCCUCAGUAUGCCUGCUAUAAAAGCUUUGGGAGGAGGAGAAUAAGAACAAAAUCAAAUAAAACAUUUUUACGUAGCACUUAGUUCACUUUGCUAAUAAUUCAUGCCUUGAAUAUUAAAUCUUAACCAUAUAAGCACUUUAAUCAUGUAGUGUAGUUUAGCCAUUUUAAAGUUUUACAUUUAGUUGGUAUCUAAUGAUUACAGCCAAACAUAUUAUUAAUACUUUUACAUGUGUUUUAGCAAAACAGUAAGAUAUUAUGCCUUUUAUAAUCUUGAGUUUUUGAAUCUUAUGGUAAUCUUCUCUACUGUUUUUAAAGAUUGUUUGCAUUUCCAUUUAAAUAACCUGUUGUGAGUGCUCGGUCUCUUGAUGAUCUGCAAACAAUCCAAAUGAAACUUGAGGUGUAGAUUUGACCGAGCUGAAUCCAUUCGUGUGGAUGUUCCCGACUUAAAUAAACGUAACACAAAAAGUAA